rnacentral:rRNA from 1 species
ACGUAGGGUGCAAGCGUUAAUCGGAAUUACUGGGCGUAAAGCGUGCGCAGGCGGUUCGGAAAGAAAGAUGUGAAAUCCCAGAGCUUAACUUUGGAACUGCAUUUUUAACUGCCGAGCUAGAGUAUGUCAGAGGGGGGUAGAAUUCCACGUGUAGCAGUGAAAUGCGUAGAGAUGUGGAGGAAUACCGAUGGCGAAGGCAGCCCCCUGGGAUAAUACUGACGCUCAUACACGAAAGCGUGGGGAGCAAACAGGA